UGCCCAGACUCCUACGGGAGGCAGCAGUGAGGAAUAUUGGUCAAUGGCCGAGAGGCUGAACCAGCCAAGUCGCGUGAGGGAAGAAUGUCCUAUGGAUUGUAAACCUCUUUUGUCAGGGAGCAAAGUCACCCACGUGUGGGUGUUGGAGAGUACCUGAAGAAAAAGCAUCGGCUAACUCCGUGCCAGCAGCCGCGGUAAUACGGAAGGUCCGGGCGUUAUCCGGAUUUAUUGGGUUUAAAGGGAGCGUAGGCCGCAUGUUAAGCGUGCCGUGAAAUGCCGUGGCUCAACCAUGGCACUGCGGCGCGAACUGGCUUGCUUGAGUGCGCGGAACGUAUGCGGAAUUCGUGGUGUAGCGGUGAAAUGCUUAGAUAUCACGAAGAACUCCGAUUGCGAAGGCAGCAUACGGCAGCGCUACUGACGCUGAAGCUCGAAGGCGCGGGCAUCGAACAGGAUUAGAUACCCCCGUAAAA
rnacentral:rRNA from 1 species